rnacentral:rRNA from 1 species
UACGGGGGGGGCAAGCGUUGUUCGGAAUUACUGGGCGUAAAGGGCUCGUAGGCGGCCAACUAAGUCGGAUGUGAAAUCCCCAGGCUUAACCUGGGAACUGCAUCCGAUACUGGAUGGCUUGAAUCCGGGAGGGGGAUGCAGAAUUCCAGGUGUAGCGGUGAAAUGCGUAGAUAUCAGGAAGAACACCCGUGGCGAAGGCGGCUCUCUGGGACGGUACUGACGCUGAGACGCGAAAGCGUGGGGAGCGAACAGG